AGGAUGAACGCUGGCGGCGUGCCUAACACAUGCAAGUCGAACGUCCUGUCUCGCAAGAGGCAGGGAGUGGCGGACGGGUGAGUACCACGUGGGUGAUCUACCGUGAGGUGAGGAAUACCGGCGAGAAAUCGCCGACAAGACCGCAUAGCCUCGGUGCAAGCCGAGGAAAGCUUUCUCGAGAGAGGGAGCGCCACACGAGGAGCCUGCGCCCGAUUAGCUAGCUGGUGGAGUAACGGUUCACCAGGGCGACGAUCGGUAGCUGGUCUGAAAGGACGAUCAGCCACACUGGGAUUGAGAACGGCCCAGACUCCUACGGGGGCAGCAGUGAGGAAUUUUCGUCAAUGGGGGCAACCCUGAACGAGCAACGCCGCGUGCAGGAAGAAGGUUUUCGGAUCGUAAACUGUCUUUUCGUCGGGGAAGAGAACGGACGGUACCCGAGGAAUCAGCCCGGCUAACUACGUGCCAGCAGCCGC
rnacentral:rRNA from 1 species